CAAACAUUGUAAAAUUAAAAAGCAAAAACAAACAACAAUAACAUGGAGAACUAAAACAUACAAGGUAUGGAAAAAAUGUAUUUGUUAUUCCUAUGAGAAAUUCAAAGACACAACUUCAUUUCCGAACGUUAACCCUCUUGGUGCCGGGGGAACAUAUAUAUAUAUAUGUCCAUGUUUUAAUUUUCGCAAGCUUCUCAUCAUUGCUGCCCAAGGUUAAACAGAGUAACAUCUUUCUUCAAUGGGUUUCACAUAU
rnacentral:lncRNA from 1 species